AUUCUAUCACAGCAACUGUAAAUACCUACUCCACAUGAUAAUUUGAGACAGGAAGUGAGGAUAUUCCUUUGCCACUUGAAAGCACAAGGGAAGCUUUAGACAGGUGAAGAACGCCAGCUGCAAACUCCUCUAUAGAAUGAAGUUUGUUAUUUAUCUUACACAAAAUGGCAACUAUGGAAUCAGGGCAGUUUGAAAAGGAGGAGUUCUACAUAAGCUCAUCUCAGUUUACAUUAGCAGUUUUCACUGCCUCUUGUCAGCUCUUUCAUUCUCUUGCAACAACUUCCCAGAAAGUUCUAAAAAGAAAGCCUGCCGCAUUCAUUGUCAUUCACAUAAAUUGAGGAUGCACUCCUUCUAUA